AUUAUAGAUGAUGAUGAGAUGGUUCACUUUAUCAUGAAUGGUCUUAACUUUGACUAUAAUCCUUUUGUAUCAUCUAUGCUUGGUUGGGUUGGCUCCCUCUCUUUGAGUGGUUUGUAUUCUCCGUUGCUCACAUAUGAUC
rnacentral:snoRNA from 1 species